AUCAAAAACAUAGCUUUAUGCUUUUUAUAUUAAGUCAAUUCUGCUCAGUGAUAAUUUAAACAGCCGCAGUACACUGACUGUGCAAAGGUAGCAUAAUAAGUUGGCUUAUAAUUGAAGUCUUGUAUGAAUGGAGUUUAAUGGGUAGCAGCUGUCUCUUUAAGUUUAAAUAGAAUUUACUUAGGGGGUGAAAAUUCCCCCCAGUAAAGAAGAAAGACGAGAAGACCCUUAGAAUUUUUACUAUGGUAAUUUUAUUUAACUACGUAUUUGUUGGGGCGACAAAUUAGCAACUUUAACCUAAUUUUUUAUACUGUAACAAGAAAAUAUUUAUUUGGUAGAUUAAUUACCUAAGGGAUAACAGCAUAAUCUUUUUUUUGGUUUGUGACCUCGAUGUUGGACUAGGGAUUAUUAUGGCUAGCAGCUUUAAUUAAUAGUUCUGUUCGAACUUAGUACCCUACAUGAUCUGAGU
rnacentral:rRNA from 1 species